rnacentral:tRNA from 1 species
UCCCUCGUGGCUCAGAUAAUAAAAGCAUCUGCUUGCAAUGCAGGAGACCCUGGUUCGAUCCCUGGGUGGGAA